AACGGGUGAGUAACACGUGGGUAACUGCCCCGACGACGGGACAACCGAGGAAACUCGGGCGUAAUACCGGAUGUGCUCGCCGGCUCAAGGCGGCGUGGAAAGGAAGCUUCGGCCUCCGCAUCGGGAUGGGCCCGUGGCCAUUAGCUUGUUGGUGGGGUAACGGCCACCAAGGCUUCGAUGGGUAGCUGGUCUGAGAGGACGAUCAGCCACACCGGGACUGAACACGGCCCAGACUCCUACGGGAGGCAGCAGUGGGGAAUCUUGCGCAAUGCGCGAAAGCGUGACGCAGCAACGCCGCGUGAGGGAAGACGGCCUUCGGGUUGUAAACCUCUUUCAGUUGGGACGAAGCUUCGCCGGUGAACAGCCGGCUGGAGUGACGGUACCUUCAGAAGAAGCCCCGGUAACUACGUGCCAGCAGCCGCGGUAAAUAACGUUACGGGGCAAGCCGUUGUCCGGGAAUUCAUUGGGGCGUAAAAGCGGCGUGUAAGGCUGUACGGGUAAAGUCCG
rnacentral:rRNA from 1 species